AUCUUCCGAAAACCUCCCGAACCCAUCUCACAACUUCUCAUCUCUCGCCUUCUCCAUCCAACUCCUCCUCUCACGCCCUCUCCGUCCAACUUCUCUCCAGUAAACCCCUCUCCGGCGAACCUCUCUGUGUGAACCUCCCCUCUGAACUCCUCUCUGUCAAGACUGUGGGCAAAAUUUCCUCACCUUAUUCCUUCACCUCUUCGUCAAAUAGCAAAUUCCCUAAUCGUCCCAUUUUCUUUCUUAAACCCAGACGCAUUAAAACCGCGACGGGCGACGGCAGCAGCAGCCAAUAGCUAUGUCUAGGGUUUUAGGAACUUGCAGGGUGCUCAUGGUGGCGACCAAGGGUGUUCCAAGGAAGCAUCAGCGAAGGCGGUGGAAAAGGGGGCAGCGAAGCCCAAGGGGGCCUUUCAUCGGAAGCUGCCUUUGUCUCCAGCGAUGAGCAAAUUCCUCGGCGUCCCAGAAAUCGUACGGGUGGAUGUCGUCAAAAAAUCUAGGAGCACAUCAAAGCAAAUCAGCUCCAGACUUUGUGGUGGUAGUCAUGUCCAAGGAACUGGUUAGGUCGGCAGCUGCACAGCAAGAAGAGCGCAUGCUAUCCGCAAAGCUUCGUCAGAUGACAAUGCUGGAUUCAUGAUUGAUAUAUUAAAGGAGUGUGGAUUAUCUCACAAAUCAAUAAUUUUUGUCUUGGAUGAGUUUGAUCUUUUUGCUUAGGGGAAACAACGUUUACUUUAUAGUUUGCUUGAUGCAAUGCAAACAAUGACUUCACAGGCUGUAGUUAUUGGUGUUAGCUGCCGACUGGAUGCAGACUAACUUCUUGAAAAAAGAGUGCAGUGUAGGUUUUGUCUCAGUCUCAAGCCGACAAUCCUUUUUAUCAGUAUAUCUAGUAGAAGUAAGCAUGCAGAUCGUUGUCUUCAAGGCCGGCUAGCUAUUUUGUGUUUUUUUUUUGUUUUAAAUUCGAAUGUCACUAUCUACUUUGAAACAUAACUAUUUAGUCUUUGUGUAUAGUUGAAUUCUCCUGUAAAUACUAAUACUUUGUAAUUGAAUUCUAUUA